AGUGAACGCUGGCGGCGUGCUUAACACAUGCAAGUCGAACGAGAACGGAUUAUAGCUUGCUAUAAUUGUCAGCUAAGUGGCGCACGGGUGAGUAAUUUAUAGGUAAUAUGCCUCUUACUAAGGGAUAACAAAUGGAAACGUUUGCUAAUACCUUAUACUCCUUAUUAACAGAAGUUAAUAAGGGAAAGAUUUAUUGGUAAGAGAUUAGCCUGUAUUGUAUCAGUUAGUUGGUGGGGUAAUGGCUUACCAAGACUAUGACACAUAACUGGUUUGAGAGGAUGAUCAGUCACACUGGAACUGAGACACGGUCCAGACUCCUACGGGAGGCAGCAGUGGGGAAUAUUGCACAAUGGACGGAAGUCUGAUGCAGCAACGCCGCGUGGAGGAUGACACAUUUCGGUGCGUAAACACCUUUUAUAUGAGAAGAUAAUGACGGUAUUAUAUGAAUAAGCACCGGCUAACUCCGUGCCAGCCGCCGCCGUAAAAC
rnacentral:rRNA from 1 species